rnacentral:tRNA from 1 species
GUUUGUGUAGAUUAAUUUAAAUCGUAAUGCUGUUAACGUUAAGAUGAAUGAGUUGUUCCACUGACG